rnacentral:rRNA from 1 species
AACAGAGGUCCCAAGCGUUGUUCGGAUUCAUUGGGCGUAAAGGGUGCGUAGGCGGCGCGGUAAGUCGGGUGUGAAAUCUCGGGGCUUAACUCCGAAACUGCAUUCGAUACUGCCGUGCUUGAGGACUGGAGAGGAGACUGGAAUUUACGGUGUAGCGGUGAAAUGCGUAGAUAUCGUAAGGAAGACCAGUGGCGAAGGCGGGUCUCUGGACAGUUCCUGACGCUGAGGCACGAAGGCCAGGGGAGCAAACGGG